UAAAAGUAAUGAAUAAUAAAUGAACGUAACUAGUUAAGAGUAAUGACUAAACAGUUCCAAUGGUAAGCAAAGUAAUAUAGAAACGGUUAAAAUAGCUCAAAAUUAAAAUAGUUAGCUAAAGGUAAUGGAUCACUACAAAUAAUACUACCCUAAAAGGUUUGUAAAAGUGUGACUCCUGACCAAACCAACCUUAAUAUUGCCAGUUUUAUAUAAU